AGAGUUUGAUCCUGGCUCAGGAUGAACGCUAGCGGCAGGCUUAACACAUGCAAGUCGAGGGGCAGCGCGGGGUAGCAAUACCCUGGCGGCGACCGGCGGAAGGGUGCGUAACACGUGAGCGACUUGCCCGUCACAGGGAGAUAACCGGCGGAAACGGCGACUAAUAUCCCAUAUGAUCCGAAGCUACAUGGCGUCGGGUUGAAAGAUUCAUCGGUGACGGAUAGGCUCGCGGGACAUUAGCUGGACGGCGGGGCAACGGCCCACCGUGGCGACGAUGUCUAGGGGUUCUGAGAGGAAGAUCCCCCACACUGGAACUGAGACACGGUCCAGACUCCUACGGGAGGCAGCAGUGAGGAAUAUUGGUCAAUGGGCGGAAGCCUGAACCAGCCAUGCCGCGUGAAGGAAUAAGGCCCUAUGGGUCGUAAACUUCUUUAGACGCAGAGCAAUAAGGUCCACGAGUGGAUCGAUGAGAGUAUGCGUAGAAUAAGCAUCGGCUAACUCCGUGCCAGCAGCCGCGGUAAUACGGGGGAUGCGAGCGUUAUCCGGAUUUAUUGGGUUUAAAGGGUGCGUAGGCGGCAAGGUAAGUCAGCGGUGAAAGACCAGGGCUCAACUCUGGAAGUGCCGUUGAUACUGUCUGGCUAGAAUGAUUCCGCCGUGGGAGGAAUGAGUAGUGUAGCGGUGAAAUGCAUAGAUAUUACUCAGAACACCGAUUGCGAAGGCAUCUCACGAGGGGUUCAUUGACGCUGAGGCACGAAAGCGUGGGGAUCGAACAGGAUUAGAUACCCUGGUAGUCCACGCAGUAAACGAUGAUGGCUAACUGUCGGGCCUAUUGGGUUCGGCGGCCAAGCGAAAGCGAUAAGCC
rnacentral:rRNA from 1 species